rnacentral:rRNA from 1 species
UACGAAGGGGGCUAGCGUUGCUCGGAAUUACUGGGCGUAAAGCGCACGUAGGCGGCUUCUUAAGUCGGUGGUGAAAUCCUGGAGCUCAACUCCAGAACUGCCUUUGAUACUGAGGAUCUUGAGUAUGGGAGAGGUGAGUGGAACUGCGAGUGUAGAGGUGAAAUUCGUAGAUAUUCGCAAGAACACCAGUGGCGAAGGCGGCUCACUGGCCCAUUACUGACGCUGAGGCGCGAAAGCGUGGGGAGCAAACAGG